ACAGGCCCUGAGGAAACAUCUGUCACCUCCAAAAGCUUGUGAGGGAGGAAGAAGCAUUCAGCUCAGCAACUUAGAGAAUUUUCUUUUAGCUCCAAGAAAGCAGAGAGCAGCGGGAGGCGUUGUGACACAGCCCAGAUGCCUCGGCACUUAGACUUUCGCAUCGCUUUCACCAUUUAUUUGACCUGUGAAGGUUGUUAAUGAAAACACUGCAUAAAAUGGAUUCCACACAGAUGUUGGAAAGACCCUGUUUGAAAACUCCUCUAAGUAUGACGGGGAGCAAUUGACAACUGUUUUUAAAGAAAUAGCCCGGUGCCACAAGAGUUGGUCAAGACUUGUGGAGGAUUCGAGAGGCAGAGCACAGCGCGUUGCCUUCAGAAGAGUGGGUUUGGAUGGGUGACUCGGGAUUCCUGGCAAUUUACAUACAUUAAGUGCCAACAGCCUCAAUCUGUGCUGUCUUGCUGAUGAAGCUAACAUAUUUUUGCUGCCUGAGGAAACUUCCUGCUCUUCAGAAAGUGAUUGCGAUUGUAAGGACCAAAGUCUAUUCAGCGACCCUUCAGCUUCACGACCGACUUGCAGGAAUUUAAAUGGGAAGUGCUCACUAAAAGUGGAUCCUAGAGGUGUGUUUGUACAGCGAGCAGCUCUCACGAACAUUUCUAGACAGGCAGUCCCUAGGAAGCCAGAACCACUGCAUCAGAGAGAUGGCGUAUUCAGACCUGAAAAGCAAAUACGCUUAAUGUCUUCUUUUUUUUUUUUUUUUUUUUAGAAGAAAAUUAAGCACCCUGGGUAUGAUUUGCUUUGUACUAAA